rnacentral:lncRNA from 1 species
GGUCCCCCAAGGACCCACGUCCAGGAGCCAACAGCCUCUCUGUGCAAACCAGACAACCCUGCAGGAACUGUGCUUGAAGAAACCGUGGAAACUGCCCCCAACCCUCCCGUCUCUAUUUCUUUCUCUGUUUUAUUAUCUCAUUCUUGGCUGUGAGGUAAACAGGAGAAAAUGAGAAGGUGGUUCUGGAGGACCCGACCGAAUUUGCUUUCGUGACAGGGUCAAGCGCCCUUUCCUCGCCGGCCGCAGCCCUCACCAAAGGGGAUUUGGGGGCCUCCGGACAGGGGUCCUGAAGGUUUUGAAUUGUUCAAUCUCUGGGGGUACAGGAACCCCUGCAGGAGGUUUCAAAGGCAAGAGUUUCGCAGAGAGAAAAAAACCAUGAACUUUGCAGGUUGGUGGCGGAAUCUGGUGAUUUAAGAAAACGUGUUUAAGCCUCGGCCGGGCCGCGCCUGGGCUGUCUGCGGUGCUCUUCCGGAAUUCUCUACAAUAUCUGGAAGUGACCAAGAAAAUUCCAGAACCCGGAGGCUGCGCCGUGGAGAUAAACAUGGGCACCUGGCCGGGCCUGGUGGCUCACGCCUGUGAUACCAGCACUUUGGGAGGCUGAGGUGGGCAGAUCAUGAGGUCAGGAGUUCGAGACCAGCCUGGCCAACCUAGUGAACCCUCAUCUCUACUAAAACUACAAAAAAUUAGCCAGGUGUGGUGGCGGGCGCCUGUAAUCCCAGCUACUUGGGAGGCUGAGGCAGGAGAAUCGCUUGAACCUGGGAGGCGGAGGUUGCAGUGAGCCAAGAUUGCACCACUGCUCUCCAGCCUGGCAACAAAGGAAGACUCCAUCUCAAAAAAAAAAAAGAAUAAAAAGAAUACAAAAAG